rnacentral:rRNA from 1 species
GAUAUUCCCCAAAAAAAACCCGCACGCCGAAAACCCAAGGUUUCCUGCUCAACGUUAAUCGGAGCAGGGUGAGCCGGUUCCUAAGACGAGGCCGAAAGGCGUAGCCGAUGGAAAACAGGUCAACAUUCCUGUGCCCGGUGUGAUUGCGAUGGGGUGACGGAGAAGGCUAGUUCAGCAGGGGUUGGUUCCCUGUUUAAGCAUGUAGGAGGAGUUGCCAGGCAAAUCCGGCAGCUCUUAACUCCGAGGUGUGAUGACGAGGCUCCACGCGAGCCGAAGUGAAUAACGCCCCGCUUCCAGGAAAAGCCUCUAAGCUUCAGAUCACAUUGGACCGUACCGUAAACCGACACUGGUGGGUGAGCAGAUAAUCUGCCAAGGCGCUUGAGAGAACUCGGGUUAAGGAACUCUGCAAAUUGAUACCGUAACUUCGGAAGAAGGUAUGCCUUCGACGGUGUAGGGAUUUACUCCCGAAGCUGUUGAAGGUCGCAGGUAAUCGGUGGCUGCGACUGUUUAUCAAAAACACAGGACUCUGCGAACACGCAAGUGGAAGUAUAGGGUCUGACGCCUGCCCGGUGCCGGAAGGUUAAUUGAUGGGGUUAGCCGCAAGGCGAAGCUCUUGAUCGAAGCCCCGGUAAACGGCGGCCGUAACCAUAACGGUCCUAAGGUAGCGAAAUUCCUUGUCGGGUAAGUUCCGACCUGCACGAAUGGCGUAACGCUGGCCAUACUGUCUCGACCCGAGACUCAGUGAAGUUGAAAUCGCUGUGAAGAUGCGGCGUUCCCGCGGCAAGACGGAAAGACCCCGUGAACCUUCACUACAGCUUUACACUGAACUUUGAACCUUUCUGUGUAGGAUAGGUGGGAGGCUAUGAAACUUGGGCGCUAGCUCGAGUGGAGCCAACCUUGAAAUACCACCCUGGGAUGUUUGAAGUUCUAACCUUGGUCCGUAAUCCGGAUUGGGGACAGUGUAUGGUGGGUAGUUUGACUGGGGCGGUCUCCUCCCAAUAGUAACGGAGGAGUGCAAUGGUACGCUCAGCGCGGUCGGUCAUCGCGCUCUAGAGUGCAAAGGCAUAAGCGUGCUUAACUGUGAGACAGACACGUCGAACAGGUACGAAAGUAGGUCUUAGUGAUCCGGUGGUUCUGUAUGGAAGGGCCAUCGCUCAACGGAUAAAAGGUACUCCGGGGAUAACAGGCUUAUUCCUCCCAAGAGUCCACAUCGACGGAGGAGUUUGGCACCUCGAUGUCGGCUCAUCACAUCCUGGGGCUGUAGCAGGUCCCAAGGGUAUGGCUGUUCGCCAUUUAAAGUGGUACGCGAGCUGGGUUCAGAACGUCGUGAGACAGUUCGGUCCCUAUCUGCCGUGGGCGUUGGAAACUUGAGGGUGAGCUGUCCUUAGUACGAGAGGACCGGGAUGGACGUAUCUCUGGUGUUCCGGUUGUCACGCCAGUGGCACUGCCGGGUAGCUAUAUACGGACGGGAUAAGCGCUGAAAGCAUCUAAGCGCGAAGCCCCCCCCAAGAUUAGGUUUCCCUGGGAACUCGAUUCCCCUAAAGGGCCGUCGGAGACUACGACGUUGAUAGGCUGGGUGUGUAAGUGCAGCAAUGCAUUGAGCUAACCAGUACUAAUUGCCCGUGAGGCUUGACCAA